GAAAUGACUCAUUCCAAGCACAAAUCAAGGAAUUAUAGUUACAUUUUUUUGAAUUCAAGAAGUUCCUAAUAUCUCGCCCCCGUCUCUUAAAUUAUCACCACCGAACACACUCUCUCUCAUCUUUUCUCUAAAAAAUCGAACGCUAUUUGCAAGUAAACAACACCUCUUUCUGUGAAAACCCUAGAUAUCGUCACUUCUUCAUCAACUGCCGUCUCCACCACCACGAAAUUCUUUGCUAUUAUCAGUCUUCUCUCUCAUAUUCUGGUUAUAAAUUACAUAUUUGCUCUUAACUUGGUUUUUAUUGUAUUGUGUAGGUCAAAUGUAUCAAAACAAUAUCAAAUGAGAGCUCUUAACUCAGUUUUCCUGGUCCCCCUCCUCUCUCUCUCUCUCUCUCUCUCUAUAUAUAUAUAUAUAUAUAUAUAUAUAUAUAUAUAUGUGUGUGUAUAUAUUUCUCUUUCGCUUUUGUUUUUUGUUUUUAUUUUUUCAUUUUUUGGUUGUUUUAAAAUGAUUGUCAGAUAUACAUAACAAAUGGAGUGAUGUUAUUUUUAAAUAAUGCGGAAAAUCAUAAAUUGUUGAUAGAUACUUUCUAAUUGAGCGUUGAUAGUAGGUUUCAUGGACGUUGGGGACACUUGGUGCAAACCCAAAAGAUGAAGGUGCAACGAUUUUAGAACAUGCCACGAUUUUAAGACCUUGUCAUUACUGACGAUCCUGAUUUCAAGGUAAGCAAUGCUUGUUUUUUUGUUUUCAUAGUAAAGAUUUUGUUGAAAUAAUCAACAGUCCAAAAACCCAUUGAGAUGAUAUCGUGUUAAUGACAUUCUAUUUAAAACAAAUUGUAUUGUAUAGAAGUUAAUUAUCUGUUGUUUCUUUUUACAAUAUUACAUUUACCAAAUGGAACACUUUCUUCUGCUGAAAACAAGUUUGAUGAUAAAAUAUAAUCUUCUUCUGCUAAAAUUUAUUUUUAUUACUAUAUAUGAACAACUGCUACAUCAGCAAAAUAAGUUGCAGGGUUAUGUGAGAAGAUGUCAAAAUACAACCUGUUCCCCCUUUUCUCGACUAGCAUUGGCAUCUAUCUAUCACUCCAACAUUGAUCUCCAUAAAUAGCAUCUCAUGUUAAUGAUCAAUUUCAACUAAUCAAACAUAUUAUUUAAGGUAAGAGAGGUGAAAGGAAUCUCAUUCCUACAUCAGGUUUGCUUUUGGAUUUACAUCUAAAAUAGAUUUUCGAGUUCAACAUGACUUUAUCAAUGUAUACAUACACCAUGAUCAUGUGUAACUUUUCUAAUUUUGCAGCUGCUGGAGAUAUUGCUUCUGGAAAAGACCUCAAGAAUUGUCUAUAUGUUAUCUCAUACAUCAAUCACUGCUACACCUUUUUGACAUUGGUCCAUCAAAAUGAGGAGUUUCACGGUAGGGUAGGGUAGGGCUGAGAAAGAAAUUUGAGGUUCAAGAUAAUGAAAUCAAGUAAUGUUUGUUCAAACAAAUGGAGGUUAUGGUGGUGCUUAGCUGUAACAUGUGACAACGAGUAAUGGUUAGCAUAGAGUGAAACCAGUGGUUUAAUGUCUGGUGGUGUUAAAUGGUGGUCCGACUAAGUGGCUUACUGUGAUGGUGGGUGUAUGUUGAUGACCGGAUAUGAUGUGGAUGGUUUAUAUCUUGAAAUAACACAAUAAUUAUAUAGUUGUUUAUGAGAUAGUGAGAUCAUCUGUUUCUUGUUGUUGGGAUCAGUUGAUUAUAUAGAUCUUUGAUUGUAGAUGAUGUUUUUUUACAGAGCAAUAAAAUGAAGGGAUUGAAGUGGAAGAA